CCUACGAGAGGCAGCAGUGAGGAAUAUUGGUCCAUGGCCGAGAGGCUGACCCAGCCAAGUCGCGUGAGGGAAGACGGCCCUACGGGUUGUAAACCUCUUUUGUCGGGGAGCAAAGCGAGCCACGUGUGACUCAUUGAGAGUACCCGCAUAAAAAGCAUCGGCUCACGCCAUGCCAGCCGCCGCGGUAUUACGGGGGAUUCGAGCGUUAUCCGGGUUUAUUGGGUUUAAAGGCUGGGCAGGGGGAAGUCAAAGUGAGCGGUAAAAUUGCGGGGCUAAACCCCGUACUGCCGUUGAAACUGCAUCCCUUGAGUGCGGGAGAGGUAAGCGGAAUGCGUGGUGUAGCGGUGAAAUGCAUAGAUAUAACGAAGAACACCGGUUGCGAAGGCAGCAUACCGGCGCGCAACUGACGCUCAGGCACGAAAGCGUGGGUAUCGAACAGGAUUAGAUACCCCUGUAGUC
rnacentral:rRNA from 1 species